AACGAACGCUGGCGGCAGGCUUAACACAUGCAAGUCGAACGCCCCGCAAGGGGAGUGGCAGACGGGUGAGUAACGCGUGGGAACAUACCCUUUCCUGCGGAAUAGCUCUGGGAAACUGGAAUUAAUACCGCAUACGCCCUACGGGGGAAAGAUUUAUCGGGGAAGGAUUGGCCCGCGUUGGAUUAGCUAGUUGGUGGGGUAAAGGCCUACCAAGGCGACGAUCCAUAGCUGGUCUGAGAGGAUGAUCAGCCACAUUGGGACUGAGACACGGCCCAAACUCCUACGGGAGGCAGCAGUGGGGAAUAUUGGACAAUGGGCGCAAGCCUGAUCCAGCCAUGCCGCGUGAGUGAAGAAGGCCUUAGGGUUGUAAAGCUCCUUCACCGAUGAAGAUAAUGACGGUAGUCGGAGAAGAAGCCCCGGCUAACUUCGUGCCAGCAGCCGCGGUAAAAC
rnacentral:rRNA from 1 species